ensembl:lncRNA
GCAAGAAGGAAGUCGUCUCUUCUCUCUUCCUCCUGGUCUCUGCUCUGGAUUUACCAUGGUUAUAUUGCUGUGAUAAGACACCACAAAAGCAACCUGAAGAGGAAAGGCUUAUUUCAUCUCACAUGCUCCACUCACAGUCUCUCACCCAAGGAAGUCAGGGCGUUACCAUUUCUUAACAGAAAUACUAAGCAAGAGUGAGAGGUUGCACAAGAGACAGCUGCACGGGGUCAAAGCUCAUUGCAUGAACAUUAAUUGAGACGCGCUGGAUGGUAAGAGAACACCACAGAGAAGAGGAAAAGCAGAGCACAAAGACAGUGGGAGUGAAAGAAAGUCCCCAGAGUCACUGAGGUGAUUUGAGUGGGCCCUGGAAGCAGCAGGAAGAAAUACGGUAAAGCUGGGACAAGCAUGUGUGCUGUCAUGACUGUAGACCAGUCAUGGGACUGUUCUAGAAAAUCUCACCAAGUUCAUUUAAGGACAAGGAGGACCUAAGGCCCAGGGCUAGAGAUAGCUCAGUAGUUGACAGCACUGACUGGUCCUCCAGAGGACCCGGUGUCAAUUCCCAGCACCCACAUGGCAGUUCAUGGCUGUCUAACUCCACUUCCAGAGGAUCUGAUGCAGCCUUUUGACUUCAUUGGGCACUACAUGUGUAUGGCUCAGAUACACAUGUAUCAAAUAAAACAAAAAAACUCAUACAGCUUAAAAAAACAGAGAGGCCCUCCCACUGUGGGGAAGCAGAGAUGUCUUGAGUCUAGGUACAUCCUAACCAUCCAGGGAGUGAAAGGCUAGACAUAUGACAGGCAUGUGUAGAGACAAAGGGGUACAAGAGGGCACCCUUAGGUUUUAACUGGACUUGGGAGGUUUCGGGGUAUGACAGACUGAGAUAACUAUAGGCUUGGUCUGCUUGGUCAAGAAACAUUAGAAACACUGUUAUCUGGAAAAGCAGUCAGUGUUCUCAACCACUGAGCCAACUUUCCAGCCCCUUAAUCCAGCCCCCCCCCCCCCCCCCGAGAGGGUUUCUCUGUAUUGCUGUGGAGGUUGUCCUGGAACUCACUCUGUAGACCAGGCUGGCCUAGAACUCACAGAGAUCUGCCUGCCUCUGCCUCACGAGUGCUAGGAUUAAAGGCGUGAGCCACCAACGCCAGGCCUCUCUAUGUAGCCCAGGCUGCUCACCUGCCUCAGCCUCCUGGCGGCUGGGAAUAAAGGUGUGAGCCAUCACCGGAUGAAGCUGUUUAAAAACAUGUGUCAAGUUCCAUAAUUACAGCUCAAUGAGAGCAGAUAGCACAUCUUUUUUUUUUUUAAAGAUUUUAUUUAUUAUGCAUAUAACAUUCUGCUUCCAUGUAUAUCUACAC